rnacentral:lncRNA from 10 species
CUGUAGUGUUUCCAGUCUGCCUGGGCUGGUGCAUUUCAAAGCGCUGCCUGGAUGGAGAAGCUGUUCCUGGGAAGCAGUGUUGACCCUGCUCUUGCGGGCAUGUGAUGAAUAUUUCAUAGCCCAGAUGUAAUCCCGUCCAAGCUUCCCUCUCCUUCCCCUGUCCAGCACCCCUCUCCUCACGUCCCCCACCUCCACCCCAGCCCCAGUCCCCCAUUGUUCCCAAGUCAGGAAAAUCAGUCAAAACAUUUAUCAGAAAUCGGUAUGAACCAGCCAAGCGCUGUGAAGAGCUAAUCUGUGCAGAGCUAAUAAGAAUGAACAAAGUCACCACAGACUCUGCCAUGGGCAUCGCUGAUAAGGAUUUGUCAGAAGAAUUGCAGAAUUCCACUCACCAUGGCCUGAGGUCCCCCACCUGCCUGAGCUCGGCUGACUGAGGGGGAGAAGACUGUCCUUGGAUUGUUCUCAUCACUAAACAAUUUCCAGCCAGCUAAGCGGGAGCCUCAGAACCACAUGAAGUGUUGUCUGGAGAAAUCUUGCCCAGAUAUAACAUUGAGACAACAUUUAAAACCUCAUUUAAGUGAACACAAAGAGAGGGCUCCUGGGUAAAAGAGACUUAAUUAAUCUCGUUUCUGUGUAGAUACUUUUAAUUAAAUGUAACUCCGCAUUCCUUCCAAGUAGAUUGGAAGGGCUGGGCAGUCUUGCUACUUGGUGGAGCUGAGUUGGGAGGGGCCGGCAGGUGGGCUGAGGCAAUUAGAGAUGCUGGAAAUGCACAGCCAGCCCAGGGCUGGAAACCUGGGAUGUGGACCUGCCUCCCAACUCCCUCCAUCCCCCAAGCCAAAAUGUACCUCUAACCAUAGGUUCUGCCUUCAUAAUCAUCUCUUGAAUGCCUCGUUUCUCUUCAACGCACAACCUUAGUUUGAGUUCAGGCCCUCAACAUCUGUCUUCUGGAUUAUGACGUUGAUCCCUGACUUGUUCUCCCACUCUCCAGUCUCAAUCCCUUUCAGUUCAUUCUAGUUCAUCCGGCUAAAUGACUUCUUAAAACACUACUUUCAUUCCCCUGAUCAAGAAUUCAAAAUAGCUUUCAAUUUUCUGAUUAAAUGCAAGUUUUUCCCCUUGGCAUGGCCAGAGUAUGGUAUCUCAGAAGACUAGUCAAGAUUAGGAGUGGCUAUAGUGCCUGGAGAAGAAGGUGAGAUUGGGUGGAUCCAAUAAGAAGUCUCCCCAGGGGGAAACUAGACCAGAGUCAGGCAGGCUGUACAACAAGUUGCUUUGAAGAGUCUAGGUAUAGAGGAGGAAUUUGGAUUUUUGACAGUGGACUCUGAGAAGACUAGAAGAGAGGCAGUUUCAAUUGAAGGAGAAACCUAGAGGAAUUCCAUGAGCUGAUGAGAGGUAAGCCACAGGGAAUAUUUAUAGAGUAAUCUGCUGCCCUGGGCAGAGAAGAGGGAGUGUUUAAAUAAACCAUGGAUAGAAUUACAUAUGGCCAUAGAUUGAAUCACAUUAUCUAUGUGACAAAGAUUGGUUGCUGACCAAUACCAGUGUUUCUCCUCUUAGUCCUGUCACACAAACUACAUUCACUUCACUCUUCCCUUUCUGAUAGAUGGGGCCAUUUAACUGAGUUUUGGCAAAUAAAUAUAGGUGAAAGGGAUGCAUGCCAAAAUCCCCUAAGAGGUCUUCUAUGUUAUCUCUUUUUGCUCAGUACCUGGCUGGAUGGAGUGGAUCUAGUGGAGGAUCUAAAGGAUGAUAAAGACAUUAGAUAGAUGGAUCCACAGGUUCUGAAUGACUCUGUAGAGCACAGCCUUUCUUCCCAACCCCACCACCAUAUUGGAUUGUGACAUGAUUGAGAAAUAAACACAUACGGUGUCAAGCCACUAAGAUUUUGGGAUUGUUUGAGACAGAAGUUAGCCUGUCAUGACUAAUAUAAUAGGCAUCCUGUCAUGAGGACCCCUAGGAGAAAAAGAAGCAGGUAGACCUGGACCACACUCAGCCCGUAUAGUGAAGGCAAGUGAAGGUUCCUCCAGGGUAAGGCCACUUCUAGUCCUACCAAUAUCUCUUGAUCCUUCUUUUCUCUUCUUCUGUAACCCCAAGGAGAUCCCGAUGACUU